AGGGAGAUGUGUACACGAGUAGAUUAAGACGACCACUGUCUUAAAGCCUUUUUACUCAUCCACCGUCUAUUGCUCUCGUUGCUCUCUGUUCACCAGGAAACUUUCUCGGUUUACGGGGGUCAAUGGUUCACCGUGGUUCUCACUACCCAUACAAACACAUUUUCGAGAUAGUUUUUUGAUUACAAAAAGUGAAUACCCUUAAAUGUUAAAAAUCAACUCUAAUAAAAUUCUAACGAUUCAAUUAACACUAUACAUUCCAGCAAUAAUACCUUGAUAAAAUUGAUUUUGACUGGUUUGGUAAUCAAUAUCCAAUGUCCCCAACAGCCGGCCCAAAAUUUCCACAUAAAUUUCCAUUUAAUUAAUUUCGAAUCAAUCGAUCGAUCUUAAAACGACCCAAAAUUGGUCUCCAACAGGCCACUCAAGAUCUCCGCACAAAUUUACUAAUCCUCGCCGAGAGAUUAGUAAUAAGCGAGGAUCCUCGAGCCGACACAGUUAAUUGGUACAAUUAUAUCAAUUCCGGCGUACAUCCUGCGAUUAGCAACGAUAAGAUGACCACGUAGAGACGUGAACGCGUGGGAGGGAGUGUUGAGAGCCGCUGAUCGCACGUUCCGCGAUGUUUGAACUUUGACACGUGACAAUUAAAUCAUCUGUCAGUUCCUAUUCAGUCGUUGACUCGUCUCGUUGAGGCGCCACGGCGACCAAUUGAGCGUGGGCCGUGACACAAACGCCGUCUUUUCGAUGGUGGGCGAAGAAAGGGUCAAGCCCCGGUGUCGCGCAAUCAACGGGGAACUGCAAGAAUCCAGCAGCGUUUCCACCAUAGUUGACGAAGAACGCGUAUAUACCUCGGGAAGAGUUUUAAUUGGAACCGGCUACUUGGCCAGUUUUUGGCUAAAGUUUUAAUGAAACCACUCGGAGAUACUUGAAGCAGGUUGUAACGAAAGAGGGUCUUUUUUGGAGCUUUUUAAAAGGAUCGAGGACCUUUCAGAGAGUUUUAAUUUUGGAGAGGAUUGGCGAAGGGUGGAUGAUUCGAAGGGUUGUUUCAUGGUUUUAUUUUGUGGGUAUCGCACGUUACCGUGCAGAAAAUUAAUUUAGAUACCCAUAACAAAGUUCGUUAAAAAUAAAAAUACUACUUAAUACACCUAACAAUUUAAUUUAAUAAUAGGUACCGCUAAGGAAACCCGAUAAUUAAUUUUCAUGACCUUCUUGAAACUUCCUCCGAAUAAAUACGAAGACACGUGCACAGGAAAAUUAAGUCUCCCGUUGAUGGUAUCAGUUUUCUUCAAUGCCUUUUUACCCCCCAUAUUGCAUGGAAAACCUGCGAAGUUAUAAGAUCUCGAAACACUUAGAUCCGCUGUAUGCACACCUAGCCUUAAUCUGAUGAAAUUAAUAAUUCAUCGCUAUCACCUCUUUCUGCGUGCAAGCAUAAUCUAAAUCUACUAAUUCCUGCGUGUUUGAAGAUUAUUAUCUGGAGAAAACUUAUGGCUCAAUUAAAAUUAAGCUUGCGUGCGAAUGAAAGGAUUUUAGGAGGAUAUUUAAAAUAAAGAGAUACUCGAUGAAAUUUGUGAUUGAAAAUCGACGAGCUGUAAAGAAAAAAUAACGACGAGCCUUCAUUGUUCGCCCAUUUCGAUUUGCGGUUUCGCGACAUUUGUUCCAUUAAAGUGUAGAGGCUCCCAGGAGUAAUACGCGCCAAGGGCUGGAGAGGGACACGUCCCUUAAAAAAGUCAAUCUUACAGACUGGGGAGAGCCAUUGUUGGUCGUAACUAACUUUGCUCGGAAAAAUGACUCAUCUUUUCUAGUGGAUGAUAAGAGCGAAAUGGAACAAUGGAAGAAGAUUAAUCUGGAUUGGUGGAUAAAAACAUUAUGAUCGAGGUAGGAUACGAUCGAGAAAAUAAUUUUAGGUAAAUUUUUGAUAAAUUGGAAAAUUGAAUUUUGUCAUUCCAGUAACGCGUGUUUCAAACGCCAUAAAUACAUCAGCAUUAUAAUCAAUCAAACUGGUCGGACAAAAGGAAGGAGACAAUGUGAUACAUGGUAAAAAUGAGGAGGGAAAGAUUAAAAAGAAAUUAGUAUGAAAAGUUUAGGAGGUUGGCGAUUCGACGACAGAGCCGUCUCUCAACUGAAAUUUAUCGCGAGCAACGGCAUUGUUGAAUUGAUAGGCAGAAGCCCAGAGGCUGCCAGACGAAUGCUCUCGACUUGAAAAAUGGCUUCGCCUCGGUGUCUCAACGUUUGUUCCAUUAAAAGCACGACGAACGCUCGCGGGUGCAGUGGAGCAUCCGUGGAAGAAAAAGGAAGCCUUAAAGAGGCAACCUCGAUAAAUCUCCACGAGGGGUUCUCCGUUCUCGACGUUCGAGACGACGCGACGCGUCGCGACGCGAGAAAAAUGCAUUGUAGGAAAAAAAGUCUGAGAUCGAACGGUCGUGGAUUGCUUUUGUCCUACCGUGAACAAACUCUGUGUUUUUCUUUCACUCUGACUAUCCGGAAAAUUCAUUUCUUUCUCUCGUUCGUUAACUUUCAAAUAAUCCAAAAAAUUUCCAAAUUUAUAAUCUUCGAAUUUUCAAAUUUCCAUGCCCAAAGGCUUGAAAUUUCUGAGGUUCAAAGCUUAAAUGCACCGGUGCGUCGCCGACUCUCCGGCCCUAAUUCCGACACUGACAAAUUGCAUCCGUCUUCUAGGAAAUAAAUAUAGGUUGGCUUGGUUUAAUCGAUACGUAUAUAAAAGCGGGAGUUCCACCCUUUAGUUUCAAGUAGUCAAUCGAGAAGCAGAGGCUACUAAUGGUUACCAAAUGAACUGCUCGAAAAGCUCUCCUAGCUCGUUGUACGCUUCUUCUGGAAGCACUUCUAUCGACGACAGAUGUUCAGUAGCUCGAACGUGGCUGCAAGCAACUCUUCAAGUCAGCUGGCGAUCCGUUUCAACGGCGAACAUUUAUUUUCGAACGUGUUCAAGCGAGAGGAAAAUUAAAUGGAAGCCUCUCAACAGCUCGAGUUUUCAGAAAUUUCAGAUUUUCAGGUCCGACGUGUAAUAAUAACGAGUGUAUUCCCAUCUUAAAAUAGUAUUUAAGAAAAUAUUUACUUUGGGCUAGAUCAAUUUGAAAAACUCGGAUAUAUAAAUCUAAGAUCGUUCAACUUCGUUUAAACAGCAUAAUAGUUUUUCCAAACAUAAAACACUCCUAUCUUUCCGAUUAAAUUCAGUUAAACGAGGAAAGAUCCUCGAGGAUAGAUUAGGUGAAAUAAGAAAAAUCGAGAUCACGAUGGUGAUGCAGGUUGAACGAACGAGGGAAUUACGGAGCAUAGAUAAAAGACGCUGUUUUCAGGAUGCUCGAAAGACACGUCUCGUUGAACUCACGAAUUUCCACGGGGCCUCGAACACGUGCGUACGUUAGAGGCCAAGUUUGCUUAUGUACCCGCACGAUUAAGUCUCCGUUGGCCGUCACUUCCGGUGCUAGUACCUUAGAACGUGCACGUGCUCCACUCUAGGGUGUUCACGCACCUUGCUUCCUCGAGCUCCAAAUGCAUGUAUCUCGACCUACCAUCCCAUCGAGUUUCCCUCAUGGAAAUCGCAUAAUUUCCUCGCGUGCGGUAUUUAUUUAACAGUUUCUUCCAUUUCCAUAAUACGAUGGUUGGUCUCGUAAUAAUAUCACAUUUGCAACUUAAUUAUUACAGACGGUACGGGGGUCUUUAUUUCUUUUUAAAUUAAACUCCAAGUGAAAUCGUAACUUUCAUGAAAUUUCAUUCGACGCAAAGCGAAUUCUUAUAAAAGUCAACCAGAGUCAAUUACAGCAGUUUAAUUAUCUUUUCACGGUUCGACUGACCGAUCGAUAUGAUUUCAGGGUAAAGGUGAGAGGUGAACGAUCGCAGCGUGGACGCAGAAUCUCACGAAUGGAACAUCUCGACAAAAGGGAGCCGGAAAAGUUUACACGAUCUUCGGGAGAUAGUGGAAGACAAAAGGACGUCCAUUUACCAAACAGCUGAGUCAAGAUAAAGAAGGAUUAACCUGGAAAGGAGGAGUAAAUCUACCCUGGUCUUUGAUUAUCUAGGAGAGUGCUAAGAUUCUUCAGUGUCUCGACUUUUCAUGGACACCUAGAAAAAUACGAAGGUUCCAAAGGCCAUUUAAAUGUCCAACACGAAGUCUACGCAACACUUUUCUAUGUAUCUUCGAGGAACAGCUGAGCGUCGACCUGUUUCCGACUUUAAAUCACCGAACAGGUGGAGGUGCUCUUCCUCGUAGUCAGAGAAUGUCAGCUGCCUCCUGGGGUCUCUCGCCGCGUACAAGCCAGACGCCAUUGUUCGAUCAACAAUACUGAACCGAACCGCUCACAACAUAUAUCCCAUUCAUUUCAUCCACCCACUUUAUGCUACCCCCGUGCCCACCCCCGACGGAUAAAGGGGGAAACAAGGGGUCAACGAGGAUGAAGAAAACGUCAUGUCCGUUCGUUCUGCGGAAGAAGCCGUCACCCUCUUCGGUAGACUCGAAAGGUACCUGAAACCUUGCGGUGCAUUGCACUGGCUUCUUCAACAACUGAAAACGUGUCUGGUGUCCUUUGGCUUUGUUCGAAAGAAGGAGCCGAAAUCUGUGCACCACGUGCCUCGAAGAUCCUCCGGUCAAUGAAGCGGAAAAACCGAGAUCAGGAUCCUGACAUUUUUCAGAAUGUCCCAUCAGAAUGACCAAUCCUUGAAGUCCAUCAGUUGCUUUCCGAUGGGAAAACCAACGAUUGCUGUUAGACCAUAAAAUUAACGGAUCGUUAAGAUCGAUUGUCCGGAUGUUUACGACUUCAGGAACAAACGGUGAGCCAUUGGAACCCCAUGGACGACAAUGGACACUGGUCACUCGGCAACGAACGAUCCUAUUGUCUUCCGACCGGCGGCACAAAGAAGAUGGUUCAAGUAUCCAGGCGAAUUGGCUGAUAAAUUAGGUUAAUCGAGAAUCGUGUUUUUUUUUUCCCUCCCUAAAAUGAUUUUUAUCGGUCGGACAAUACGCGGUCACGCAACAUGGCCCCGUUAAUAAAGUGGAAAGAAGCAACUCUGUUCACGAGCAGCUUGGCACGUGCCAAACAGUGUCAGCUGGUAAUGAUCGGCGAACGGUACCCAUACGAUGCCCGACAGCUUUUUAUCUCGUAACAAUAUCUCCUGGUAUUUCGAAAACGUUCGUACCGGCUACCAGAGGUGAAAGGGAUUCCGUGUAUAUCGAGGUAAACCGAGAGGGAAAAGUGGAAGGGAAGAAGAAAAUUGUAAACGUAAAAUAAUUUAGAAAAUAAGUUUUUUAUUAAGUUCAAACUUGAUACAUUGUACAUUGUACAUUUAAUAAAAUUGUUUCAAUCAUUCGCUAUAUUUUUCAAUUAAAAAUUUCUUUAAUUACACUAUUGUCCAAAUCUUCUCUCCAUUCCCCGAAUGAU